UACGGAGGGUGCAAGCGUUAUCCGGAUUCAUUGGGUUUAAAGGGUGCGUAGGCGGAAUGAUAAGUCAGUGGUGAAAGCCUGCAGCUUAACUGCAGAACUGCCAUUGAUACUGUCAAUCCUGAGUACAUUUGAUGUGGGCGGAAUGUGUCAUGUAGCGGUGAAAUGCUUAGAUAUGACACAGAACACCGAUUGCGAAGGCAGCUCACAAAACUGUAACUGACGCUGAGGCACGAAAGCGUGGGUAUCAAACAGG
rnacentral:rRNA from 1 species